rnacentral:rRNA from 1 species
CGGGGUGCAGCAGGCGCGAAAACUUUACAAUGCUGGCAACAGCGAUAAGGGGACCUCGAGUGCCAGGAUACAAUCUUGGCUGUCGCGAUGCCUAAAAAGCAUUGCAUAGCAAGGGCCGGGCAAGACCGGUGCCAGCCGCCGCGGUAACACCGGCGGCUCGAGUGGUAACCGCUAUUAUUGGGUCUAAAGGGUCUGUAGCCGGCCGGAUAAGUCUUUUGGGAAAUCCAGCUGCUCAACAGUUGGGCUUUCAGAAGAUACCGUUCGGCUCGAGACCGGGAGAGGUGAGAGGUACUUCAGGGGUAGGGGUGAAAUCUUGUAAUCCUUGAAGGACCACCAGUGGCGAAGGCGUCUCACCAGAACGGAUCUGACGGCAAGGGACGAAAGCUAGGGGCACGAACCGGAUUAGAUACCCGGGUAGUCCUAGCCGUAAACGAUACUCGCUAGGUGUCAGCCACGGUGCGACCGUGGUUGGUGCCGUAGGGAAGCCGUGAAGCGAGCCACCUGGGAAGUACGGCCGCAAGGCUGAAAAUUAAAGGAAUUGGCGGGGGAGCAAAGGGCGAUUCGCG